rnacentral:lncRNA from 1 species
CGUGUGAUUAGAUUUGAUCCUAAUUAUAAGAACGUUAUGGUUUAAAUAGGAGAAAUCUGUAACGCUCCAAUAAUUCCAUAUCAGAUGAAAAAGAAUUUAUGUUGAAAAAUAUAAGGACCGAAAAUUUUACUAGUAAUAACUGAACUUUUUAGUAUUUUAGGUCGAUAGCUUCAAUCCGACAAAUUAUUACUCCUGGUGCGUCGAAUCGUUACAUAUAGUUUCUUCCAAACUUCAUAAUAGUGUCCUCAUAACUAUC